UACGGGGGGGGCAAGCGUUGUUCGGAAUUACUGGGCGUAAAGGGCUCGUAGGUGGCCAACUAAGUCAGACGUGAAAUCCCUCGGCUUAACCGGGGAACUGCGUCUGAUACUGGAUGGCUUGAGUGUGGGAGAGGGAUGCGGAAUUCCAGGUGUAGCGGUGAAAUGCGUAGAUAUCAGGAGGAACACCGGUGGCGAAGGCGGGUCUCUGGGCCGUAACUGACGCUGAGGAGCGAAAGCAUGGGGAGCGAACAGG
rnacentral:rRNA from 1 species